ACGAACGCUGGCGGCAGGCCUAACACAUGCCAGUCGAGCGGACCCUUCGGGGUUAGCGGCGGACGGGUGAGUAACGCGUGGGAAUAUGCCCUUCUCUACGGAAUAGUCCUGGGAAACUGGGGGUAAUACCGUAUACGCCCUUUGGGGGAAAGAUUUAUCGGGGAAGGAUUAGCCCGCGUUGGAUUAGGUAGUUGGUGGGGUAAUGGCCUACCAAGCCGACGAUCCAUAGCUGGUUUGAGAGGAUGAUCAGCCACACUGGGACUGAGACACGGCCCAGACUCCUACGGGAGGCAGCAGUGGGGAAUCUUAGACAAUGGGGGCAACCCUGAUCUAGCCAUGCCGCGUGAGUGAUGAAGGCCUUAGGGUUGUAAAGCUCUUUCAGCUGGGAAGAUAAUGACGGUACCAGCAGAAGAAGCCCCGGCUAACUCCGUG
rnacentral:rRNA from 1 species